rnacentral:rRNA from 1 species
GACGAACGCUGGCGGCGUGCUUAACACAUGCAAGUCGAACGGAAGGGCCCUGCUUUUGUGGGGUGCUCGAGUGGCGAACGGGUGAGUAACACGUGAGUAACCUGCCCUUUACUUUGGGAUAACUUCAGGAAACUGGGGCUAAUACCGGAUAGGAGCUCCUGCUGCAUGGUGGGGGUUGGAAAGUUUCGGCGGUUGGGGAUGGACUCGCGGCUUAUCAGCUUGUUGGUGGGGUAGUGGCUUACCAAGGCUUUGACGGGUAGCCGGCCUGAGAGGGUGACCGGCCACAUUGGGACUGAGAUACGGCCCAGACUCCUACGGGAGGCAGCAGUGGGGAAUAUUGCACAAUGGGCGGAAGCCUGAUGCAGCAACGCCGCGUGCGGGAUGACGGCCUUCGGGUUGUAAACCGCUUUCGCCUGUGACGAAGCGUGAGUGACGGUAAUGGGUAAAGAAGCACCGGCUAACUACGUG